UUUCUUAUGUCUAUUAUUCAUCUUUUCUUUGUAUUAAUAAUCAAAUUAUUAUUCAAGCCUGAUGUUCUUCUCUCGCUUCAGACCAGAUUUUGAUUUCAAUACCUAAAUAAAUCAUCUAAAAUCUAGAGUUUUUUCUCAUUAUUUUAAAUCUAAGUCAGAUAAAUUCUUUAGGAAAGGUGCAUUCAAGACUCUGUAUUAUAGUUUUGCAAAAGAACUAGUAGCAGAAACAGAAAAACUAAGUUGAGAAAGCUUAUGUUUGCAGCUGUUGUGUACCACAUUGAGGGUGCUAGAAACAACUUUAUUUUCAAUUAGAAGAAGAGUUCAAGCAGUCAUAUUUUCCAGAGAAUCAAGGCUGAAGUUAUGACUAGAUGUUGGGAUAGGAAAUAAUCUUGCUGGUGUUCUUAGUCUGUUUUUCUUUGCUUUUGUUUUGCUUGGCAUGUUGCUUUUGUGCCAGUUGAGUAGCCCUUGGAGCACGUAUCUGGGUGUACCUCUCUUUGAAAUUCUAGUAAAAUUGCUUUUUUUGGUGAUUAACAAAAAAUAAGACUGUAUUAUUCUAUA